UUAAAUUGAAGAGUUUGAUCAUGGCUCAGAUUGAACGCUGGCGGCAGGCCUAACACAUGCAAGUCGAACGGUAACAGGAAGCAGCUUGCUGCUUUGCUGACGAGUGGCGGACGGGUGAGUAAUGUCUGGGAAACUGCCCGAUGGAGGGGGAUAACUACUGGAAACGGUAGCUAAUACCGCAUAACGUCGCACGAACAAUGAGGGGGACCUUAGGGACUACUCCCAUCUGCUGUGACCAGAUGGGAUUCGCUAGUAGGUGGGGUAACCGCCCACCGAGCCG
rnacentral:rRNA from 1 species